rnacentral:rRNA from 1 species
UCAAGAAACUUCCACAAUGGACGAAAGUCUGAUGGAGCGACGCCGCGUGAUUGAUGAAGUCCUUCGGGACGUAAAGAUCUUUUAUGGGGGAGGAAGUAAUUGACGUUACCCCAUGAAUAAGUAGCUCCUAACUCUGUGCCAGCAGGAGCGGUAAUACAGAGGCUACAAGCGUUACCCGGAAUCACUGGGCGUAAAGGGUGUGUAGGCGGUCGUGUUAGUCUGCUGUUAAAGAUUUUGGGCUUAACCCAGAAAAUGCAGCAGAAACGGCACGACUUAGAGGAUGUGAGAGGUACAGGGAACUCAAGGUGUAGGGGUGAAAUCCGUUGAUAUCUUGGGGAACACCAAAUGCGAAGGCACUGUACUGGCACACUCCUGACGCUGAAACACGAAAGCGUGGGAAUCGAACGGGAUUAGAUACCCCUGUAGUCC